rnacentral:rRNA from 1 species
UACAUGGGGUGCAAACGUUGCUCGGAAUUAUUGGGCGUAAAGCGCGCGUAGGCGGUUACUCAAGUCGGAUGUGAAAGCCCUCGGCUUAACUGAGGAAGUGCACCCGAAACUGAGUAGCUAGAGUACUAAAGAGGGUCGCGGAAUUCCCGGUGUAGAGGUGAAAUUCGUAGAUAUCGGGAGGAACACCGGUGGCGAAGGCGGCCCCCUGGUUGGAUACUGACGCUGAUACGCGAAAGCGUGGGGAGCGAACAGG